rnacentral:rRNA from 1 species
AUUGAACGCUGGCGGCAGGCCUAACACAUGCAAGUCGAGCGAGCGGCGGACGGGUGAGUAAUGUAUGUGAAACUGCCUGAUGGAGGGGGCUAACUACUGGAAACGGUAGCUACUACCGCAUACCAUCAGAUGUGCCCAUAUGGGAUUAGCUAGUAGGUGGGGUAAGGGCUCACCUAGGCGACGAUCCCUAGCUGGUCUGAGAGGAUGACCAGCAAAACGGGAACUGAGACACGGUCCAGACUCCUACGGGAGGCAGCAGUGGGGAAUAUUGCACAAUGGGCGCAAGCCGGAUGCAGCCAUGCCGCGUGUGGGAAGAAGGCCUUCGGGUUGUAAAGCACUUUCAGCGGGGAGGCGUUACCCGCAGAAGAAGCACCGGCUAACUCCGUGCCAGCAGCCGCGGUAAUAC